GACGAACGCUGGCGGCGUGCUUAACACAUGCCAGUCGAACGGAAAGGCCCUUCGGGGUACUCGAGUGGCGAACGGGUGAGUAACACGUGGGUGAUCUGCCCUGCACUUUGGGAUAAGCCUGGGAAACUGGGUCUAAUACCGGAUAGGACCACGGCAUUCAUGUGCUGUGGUGGAAAGCUUUUGCGGUGUGGGAUGGGCCCGCGGCCUAUCAGCUUGUUGGUGGGGUAAUGGCCUACCAAGGCGACGACGGGUAGCCGGCCUGAGAGGGUGACCGGCCACACUGGGACUGAGAUACGGCCCAGACUCCUACGGGAGGCAGCAGUGGGGAAUAUUGCACAAUGGGCGCAAGCCUGAUGCAGCGACGCCGCGUGAGGGAUGACGGCCUUCGGGUUGUAAACCUCUUUCGCCAGGGACGAAGCGCAAGUGACGGUACCUGGAGAAGAAGGACCGGCCAACUACGUG
rnacentral:rRNA from 1 species